UCAUUAACUUCGAUGUUCGUU
rnacentral:piRNA from 1 species